rnacentral:rRNA from 1 species
GACGAACGCUGGCGGCGUGCCUAAUACAUGCAAGUAGAACGCACUUGCGAACGGGUGAGUAAUGCGUAGGUGCCUGCCUCAUAGCGGGGGAUAACUAUUGGAAACGUUAGCUAAUACCGCAUACUGUGAGAUGGACCUGCGUUGUAUUAGCUAGUUGGUGGGGUAAAGGCCCACCAAGGCGACGAUACAUAGCCGGGCUAGUAGGGUGAUCGGCCAAACCGGGAAGGAGACAGGGCCCAGAUUCUUCCGGAGGGAGCAAGAGGGGAACUUUGGCAAUGGGGCGAAGUCUGACCGCACAACGCCGGGUUAGGGAAGGAGGUUUUCGGGUCUUAAAGCCCUGUUGUGAGAGAAGCGGUAACUAAAGAAAAAGGGACGGCUAACUCCGUGCCAGCAGCCGCGGUAAUAC